GAGGGUGAUCGGCCACAUUGGAACUGAGACACGGUCCAAACUCCUACGGGAGGCAGCAGUGGGGAAUAUUGCACAAUGGGCGAAAGCCUGAUGCAGCAACGCCGCGUGAGUGAUGAAGGCCUGCGGGUCGUAAAACUCUGUCCUCAAGGAAGAUAAUGACGGUACUUGAGGAGGAAGCCCCGGCUAACUACGUGCCAGCAGCCGCGGUAAUACGUAGGGGGCUAGCGUUAUCCGGAUUUACUGGGCGUAAAGGGUGCGUAGGCGGUCUUUCAAGUCAGGAGUGAAAGGCUACGGCUCAACCGUAGUAAGCUCUUGAAACUGGGAGACUUGAGUGCAGGAGAGGAGAGUGGAAUUCCUAG
rnacentral:rRNA from 1 species